rnacentral:rRNA from 1 species
AAUCAACGCUGGCGGCGUGCCUAACACAUGCAAGUCGAACGCGAAGAUCCCGCAAGGGAUUUGUAGCGUGGCAAACGGGUGAGUAACACGUGGGUGACCUGCCUUCGAGCGGGGGAUAACGUUCCGAAAGGGACGCUAAUACCGCAUGACAUCCUGCUUUUGAACAAGUGGAGAUCAAAGCCGGGGAUCGCAAGACCUGGCACUCGAAGAGGGGCCCGCGCCUGAUUAGCUAGUUGGUGAGGUAAUGGCUCACCAAGGCAACGAUCAGUA